rnacentral:rRNA from 1 species
AGGGCACCACCAGGAGUGGAGCCUGCGGCUUAAUUUGACUCAACACGGGAAAUCUCACCAGGCCCGGACACCGGAAGGAUUGACAGAUUGAGAGCUCUUUCUUGAUUCGGUGGGUGGUGGUGCAUGGCCGUUCUUAGUUGGUGGAGCGAUUUGUCUGGUUAAUUCCGAUAACGGACGAGACUCUGGCCUACUAAAUAGACGUUAGAUCCCUUUGUGGGUCUAUCGCAGCUUCUUAGAGGGACGGGCGGCGUUCAGCCGCACGAGAUUGAGCAAUAACAGGUCUGUGAUGCCCUUAGAUGUUCUGGGCUGCACGCGCGCUACACUGAAGGAAUCAGCGUGUGUUCCCUGCCCGAAAGGACUGGGAAACCCGUUGAACCUCCUUCGUGAUGGGGAUUGGGGAUUGCAAUUAUUCCCCAUGAACGAGGAAUUCCCAGUAGGCGCGAGUCAUAAGCUUGCGUCGAUUACGUCCCUGCCCUUUGUACACACCGCCCGUCGCUACUACCGAUCGAGUGAUUUAGU